rnacentral:rRNA from 1 species
UACGUAGGGUGCGAGCGUUAAUCGGAAUUACUGGGCGUAAAGCGUGCGCAGGCGGCUUUGCAAGACAGAGGUGAAAUCCCCGGGCUCAACCUGGGAACUGCCUUUGUGACUGCAAGGCUCGAGUACGGCAGAGGGGGAUGGAAUUCCGCGUGUAGCAGUGAAAUGCGUAGAUAUGCGGAGGAACACCGAUGGCGAAGGCAAUCCCCUGGGCCUGUACUGACGCUCAUGCACGAAAGCGUGGGGAGCAAACAGG